rnacentral:rRNA from 1 species
GAUGAACGCUGGCGGCGUGCCUAAUACAUGCAAGUCGAGCGAACAGAUGAGGAGCUUGCUCCUUUGACGUUAGCGGCGGACGGGUGAGUAACACGUGGGUAACCUACCUAUAAGACUGGAAUAACUCCGGGAAACCGGAGCUAAUACCGGAUAAUAUUUAGAACCGCAUGGUUCUAUAGUGAAAGAUGGUUUUGCUGUCACUUAUAGAUGGAUCCGCGCCGCAUUAGCUAGUUGGUAAGGUAACGGCUUACCAAGGCAACGAUGCGUAGCCGACCUGAGAGGGUGAUCGGCCACACUGGAACUGAGACACGGUCCAGACUCCUACGGGAGGCAGCAGUAGGGAAUCUUCCGCAAUGGGCGAAAGCCUGACGGAGCAACGCCGCGUGAGUGAUGAAGGUCUUCGGAUCGUAAAACUCUGUUAUUAGGGAAGAACAAAUGUGUAAGUAACUGUGCACGUCUUGACGGUACCUAAUCAGAAAGCCACGGCUAACUACGUG